rnacentral:ncRNA from 1 species
CUCUUCGGGGCAGGGUGGAAUUCCCUACCGGCGGUAUAGCCCGCAAGCCUUUGGCAAGAUCCGGCGUGAUCCCGGAGCCGACAGUAAAGUCUGGAUGAGAGAAGAU